ensembl:lincRNA
UGUGCACCUGGGUUCUUCUCUCAAGCUCUGCUUCUAGUGGACUGGCCUGAGACAUCUACCACAGAUUCCCUGAAUAAUACUGGAACUCUACUUGAGAUUUCUAAAUUUUAAAGUUAGUAGAGGAUGCUGCUGUGUUCAGCACUCUUGCAUGACAGUGACCCUGAGGCAAAAGAACUUCCUCCCAGACUCUCUCACCUGCCCCUGUGCUUGCUGCUUAAACAGAAAUCAGCUCUUUGGUUCAACAUGUAAUCAAGCCAACCCUGGAAGACAUUGCCUUCUACCUCCAGGGCCAACACUGGUCAACCUUUCCCCACCUCAUGCCUGCCUUCUACCCUUGUGGGUUAGUGAGUGUCUCCCUACCAAAAAUAAUAAUAAUAAUAAGCCGAAUGAGUUAAGCAUAUAGAAGCCUGAUUAUACUAUGAAGAGCAUUUACCUUUGAGUCAGAGACUCAAGUUUGAAUAGUUACUUAACUUCACUGCUUAACAGC